GGGUAAUUAGCUCAGUUGGUAGAGCGCCUCGCUUACAACGAGAUUGUCAGCGGUUCGAGCCCGUUAUUACCCA
rnacentral:tRNA from 1 species